AAAUGACUGUGCAGCUGGUGAAGCUACAUUAGAUGUGCUUGAGAAUGAAGGAGCUCUGUUCAGUGCUGGCGAUGGGACAGGACUGGUGCUCGUAGAAUUCUUUGUCUCCAUGGCUUUAGCAGCUAUUCGAAUGAUUUCUUGAACCUAUAAGCGUGGGAUGAUAAUGAGAACAGGAACCCUUAAGCUAUUCGUACAACAGAAGUGUAGAAUUUGCGCUAGUGUAACAGACCAACCUUUUCUGCUGGGAGUCCAUCAAACACAGUAACACUCCCACCAAAGAAAAUAGUAAGUUGACUUGGAAGGACAGUUGAAGCAUCUGCCUCAGAUGAUGUGUUCUCCGUGGACCUUCAAUAGCGAAGAUUCAUUAAACAUGUACUAUACCAAAGAUGGAGUAUUGAUGCAACAUUGAGAACAAUCAAAUAGCUAGGAAUAUUGUGACUGUUGACACAAUACAGCAUAUAUAAAGGUAAGAUAUGAAUAUCAUAACUGUCAUUUAGUGUUUAAAGUGAUUUAUUGGUUGUUAAGAAUCAGGUUCUUCUGGGUUCCAUGUCAAAUUCCUCACAGAAGGUAACAUCACAUAUUCAAGGAAUUUGUAAGUCAGACCCGUUAACAAGAAAUACGGAAAGAUGUCUUUGAUAUAUGAAAUAUGGUUCUCCAUUUCAGAUGCAACACACAAUGGUAAAUACAUGAAACAUUUGUAAACUUAUAGAACCAAAAGCCAUCACUGAUGUAGUGAGAAAUAGCGUCAACAGACUAAUAUAGCAAACCCAAACUCUACACUUUCGCAAGUUCAAGAUGAUGUUCCACUAACUAAAUUCACAUGAAAACCCUUAUUAUGUACGCAUUAAGGACUUUGAAGCACAAGAUCAAUUGUUUUAGCCAAGAACAAAUUGAUUCCUCCGACAAAUAUGAACUUUCCCUAAAUAGCAACUAAAAAUCCUCAAAUCCUAUCUUUAUAUAUACGAUUCACAAAUAUAAACAGAUCGAAAUGUUCAUUAUCAGAAACGAACACACAAACUCCAGAACUAUACUCUUUAUCAAAGGGAGAAAACAGAUUAUAAAAAACCAGUGAAUCAAUCAACAGUAAUUUCAAACACAGCUCAUACCUAACUUCGUGAAUCGAUUUCUCAACAGAUCCGUCGAAGACACCGUGCUCGGUUCCGUAACCGCCGAUCGCAGCCGCGCCACCGUCACCGCCGGCAACAUCACAUCCACCUUCAACGGUAGAGCGAGGCUCAUCUUUCAUCAUAGUCAUGACUCGUAGAUCUUUCUUUACUCCGAUUAAAGAAGUUAUGAAAUUUUCCUCCUGUCUCGUGCUCUUUGUUUCUGCUUCGUCUCCACGACGUUGCAGAAACGGGAAGCUCCGAGAGAUAUAUCCUCCUCAGGAGCUCCUUUGAUUUGGACACGUGGCGGUCGAUAUUGAUUUUUUUUGUUUGACUUCGGUUCUAAGACAAUAAAAGACAAAAGAAACUAAUUUAAAAACGUGCGCGAAUUCGAUACGUUGUCGUAUUUUCGGGUUUUGCCACCCUUUUAUGUGGGACAUUCUGUUAACGACAACUCCGAAACGUGUCUAAUGUUAAGUGGCUGAGACAUUUAUUUAAAAUUGAUGGGGUUCUUGUCCUCUUGAGACUUGAAUUCCCCCCUUAUUGGACCUUGUUUCAUUGGGCUCGGAAACAACUGUUGGGCUUAGCAGCGUUAAAAGGUGGACUAUAUAUUAAUACCCAACAUAUCACCCUAGCAUCUUUUUUUUUUUCUUUUUUUCUUUUUCCCUACUAGUCGAACAUAUUGUACUCUAGAAUUAUUUCGUACUAGUGUCUGUACGCUCUAUUAUCACCAGAAUUAAGAAUUUUGUAGAAUGUGUAGCUUAAUUUAAUUGAUUACAUUAUUAAGAAUUUCACAAUAUGUAAAACCAUUAAACUCUACAAUAAUAAAGUUUGAAACUAAUUAAUCGCGUACAAGAUGCAACUGCCGUGAAAAUAAACUUUUUAUCUAGCGUUUUUUUUUUACCAAGGGCAGAGAAAACUGGAAAAAGUGAGGGUAGUUUGGUCUUUGUAUUUUUCAUUUAGGGUUCCGAAAGAUCUGGGUUUUGGCUCUCUCUCCCUCAUUUCUACUACUACUCGAGCUUCUUCUUCUAAAAGCACACUCAAUAUUUCGAGAUCCUUUAGGCUUUGUUCGUUCGUAGUGAACGACACUCGAUUUUUUCCAGUCUUGAUCCCAGAUUCGUCGACUUGAGAGGAGAUCUCCGAUACUGAAGUAGCCUCCUUCAUCUUCCGCUCUUCCCGAUGCCGGUAAUGAUUCGCCGUCGUCUCUUUCAUUUCUUUUUUGCUUUUCCCAUUGCUCUUUACGCAGCCAUUAACUUACCUAUUUCGUAUUUAGAUCGAUAAGAUCUUCAAAGAUGACGCUAGUGAAGAGAAGGGAGAACGUGCGAGGAUGGUGAGCUUUGUUUAUAUCUUGUCAUUUAGGAAUUAGGGUUUUUCAGAUUCACUCUCACUGUGUGUUUCAUCUGAUUCACUUUAUUUGUUGCUCUCUCUAGGCAUCAUUUGUUGGUGCAAUGGCUAUCAGUGAUCUGGUUAAGUCUACUUUAGGGCCUAAGGGCAUGGUAACUUCCGAUCUCCAAAUAUAUAGAAAGCUCUAAUUGAACUUUUAAAUUCACUCUAUUGAUUGUGGUUGAAUCUUAUUAUUGUUGUUUAGGACAAAAUCUUACAAUCUACUGGUAGAGGUCAUGCAGUCACUGUUACUAAUGAUGGUGCUACUAUUCUCAAGUCACUUCACAUAGACAACCCUGCAGCUAAAGUUCUUGUUGGUAUGUAUGCUUUCUCCUGCAAAAUUGUGACUGUAAGCUCUCGAAUUCGUUUUUUUUUGUGGGUUUUUCUCACACUUCUUGUAUCUGGUCUGAUGUUCAGACAUCUCUAAAGUUCAAGAUGAUGAGGUUGGUGAUGGGACUACUUCUGUUGUUGUCUUGGCUGGCGAGCUUCUGAGAGAAGCAGAAAAGCUUGUUGCUUCUAAGAUUCACCCUAUGACGAUCAUAGCAGGUAAGCUUCUGGCUCUUUUAAGUGUAAAGAUGACUAUGUUGUGUCAGCUCCUUGUUCCAUUAUGUCAAUGAUGUCUAAUUUUUUCAUUUUCUGAAUUCUUAGGUUACAGAAUGGCUUCGGAAUGUGCUCGUAAUGCUUUACUGAAAAGAGUUAUUGAUAAUAAGGACAAUGCAGGUAAUCAUUGUAGAGAUGGUUGCGAUGUUGGUUCAAGUAGUGCUUUCCUUUAUUAUUAACUUGGAAUAUCUUACUGUUGUUUACUGUACUGUGCUCUGUGUUUAUGCAGAGAAAUUUAGGUCAGACUUGCUGAAGAUUGCGAUGACUACGUUAUGUUCCAAAAUUCUCUCACAGGACAAGGAACAUUUUGCUGAAAUGGCUGUGGAUGCUGUUUUCAGGCUAAAGGUAUCAUCUCUUGCCUCCUUUUAAAACUGUCAGCAAAUCUUUUUUUCUGCAAUUUAUGUGUAAUGAAAGAAGGGCUUUCUUUGACGAAUGUCAUAAAGUUAGGCUAGUCUCAUUUCACAAUUAGUUUCUUUCCUGUAAAUCAUGUUUUCGUUUUGAGGUGUUAAAUGAUUUGUCACUAACAUAUUGGUGGUAUGCUUCAAAUAGGGAAGCACAAACUUGGAAGCUAUCCAGAUCAUCAAAAAACCUGGAGGAUCCCUGAGAGAUUCCUUUUUGGAUGAAGGGUAAGACAACACUUCUGCCUUUGACGUCUGUUUGUAAUCUGUUUCUGGAAUCUAUUGCUCUCUGUUUAGUAUUCAUCUGUUUAUGAUAUCACUUUUGUGUGUCAGUUUCUCUUCUUCGUAGCUAGCUCAGCUUAAUUUUAUAAAUAUAGUCUUACAUUGGAAUUUUGAUAGGAAUUACGUCAUUAUGUUGUGUUGCAUCCCUGCCUAUGUGCUUCCAGUAUAAUUGUCUCAUGACAUAUCAACUUUAAUGGAUGCCUCUAGGUUUAUUCUUGACAAGAAGAUAGGAAUUGGGCAGCCAAAGCGCAUAGAGAAUGCAAAUAUCUUGGUAGCAAAUACUGCUAUGGAUACCGAUAAAGUGAAAAUUUAUGGUGCACGUGUCCGUGUGGAUUCCAUGACCAAGGUUGCUGAGAUUGAAGGCGCUGAGAAGGAAAAGAUGAAAGACAAGGUGAAGAAGAUCAUAGGCCACGGUAUCAACUGCUUUGUUAACAGGCAGUUGAUCUACAAUUUCCCUGAGGAACUCUUUGCAGAUGCUGGUAUACUUGCUAUUGAGCAUGCUGACUUUGAGGGGAUAGAGCGUCUUGGAUUGGUUACUGGUGGAGAAAUCGCAUCAACCUUUGACAACCCAGAGUCUGUUAAGCUCGGGCAUUGCAAGCUCAUUGAAGAAAUCAUGAUUGGUGAAGACAAGUUGAUCCAUUUCUCUGGUUGUGAAAUGGGCCAGGCUUGUUCAAUUGUCCUAAGGGGAGCGAGGUACUUGUCUUUCACUCCCAGUACUUGAGAUUUUCGUCUCUAAUUCAGUAUGCCAAUUUAUGUGUGGUUUCUUUGUUCUUGCAGUCACCAUGUUCUAGACGAGGCUGAAAGAUCACUCCAUGAUGCUUUAUGUGUACUCUCACAAACAGUGAAUGACACUAGAGUGUUGCUUGGAGGUGGAUGGCCAGAGAUGGUGAUGGCAAAAGAAGUAGAUGAGCUUGCAAGGAAAACUGCUGGCAAAAAAUCGCAUGCCAUUGAAGCUUUCUCAAGGGCUCUAGUGGCUAUUCCAACAACAAUCGCUGACAACGCUGGUUUAGACAGUGCAGAAUUGGUGGCUCAGCUUCGUGCAGAGCACCACAAUGAAGGGUGUAAUGCCGGAAUCGAUGUCAUCUCUGGAUCUGUAAGUGAACUCUAUAAACAUUAGGAUCGGACCUAGAUUUUGGAACGUUAGACUUGAAUUGUGAUGAUGAUGAUAAAUUCUUCACAGGUAGGAGAUAUGGAAGAGAGAGGAAUCUAUGAAGCAUUCAAAGUGAAGCAAGCGGUUCUGCUUUCUGCAACAGAAGCAUCUGAGAUGAUACUGCGAGUGGAUGAGAUCAUUACAUGUGCUCCUAGGAGGAGAGAAGACAGGAUGUGAAACCCAACACAUGAACAUGGUGGGACCGAUAUUUCAUGAUCAUCCGGUGACAAUGUUUCACCAGUGCCAUAGCUUGUGUUUUCAUUUCUUAAAAACUUUUAGUGUUUUAAUUACUUGGUAAACUCAUCUUUUUGAUUUGUUUCUUCUUUUUUUUAAUCUUGUUUUGAUUUUGGAUUUAGACGUUUGUUGAAAUGUAAUCUCCAAGGAGUUUACCUUGUUUUGGUCAGGUCAUCAGAAAUUUUCACUGAGAUUAUUCGUUGUUUUGGUUAGUGGAAAUAUAUUUUAGCAGGAGAGAAUAUGGGGUAUGUUGUCUUUUGUGUGUCUCAUGUAUCAGUAAAUAUUCAAUUUGGUCGAGAAGAACAACAAAAUACAAAAACCUCAAGGUUAGGUAUUUGGAUACCAGAAAAUCUGGAAUGAUCCCAACUAUAAGACGAAAUCAUGUGUAGGUCAUCAUCUUGUAUAAAAUAUCUAUAGAAGAAAUAUAUGAGACAUGACCUACAACGUUGAGGUGGUUUUGCGUUGUAAAGGGUUUGGUCAACCGACCAAACCACAUUAUAAAGCAGAGCAGAUCAAAACAUGGGACCUUACAAUCGCAAGCUUUAAUUAUAACGUCGCCUUUAUCAAUUGUCUUACCAGAAAAGUAUAUUUGUUUUUUUAGAUUUUGUUGUUUUUAUACUUGGAUGAUUUGAUUUGAAUCGCAGAAAUUUUCAUGGUUUCAUACCUUUCCAUUUCUCUUCACCAAAACAGUUAAAGGUUAGUAAACCAAAAAAGUGCACCAAUUUAUCCAGAAAUUUAAUGGAAAUGCAUAAACUAUAUAGUAGUACAUGUUUAGAAAAAUUUAAUAGAAAAAAUAUAAUAUUGACCGACAUUAAUUCAUAGUCUAGUGACAACAAGAUCCUUAGGUCCGUUGACAUGUCAUCCUAGGUUUAAAUUACUGCUUCCCAAAGCUGUUCGAUUCUCAAGAUCUUAUGACAAUCUCUGACACUCUGUUUGUAGGGCUAUUGUCCCUGGAAGAACAUUCGUUUGAGAUGAGAUCAAGACAGAGCAAUGCAAUAUUCCUUGACGAGUGUGAGGUUAGAGAGCUAAUAUGAAACGGAGAAACAACUCUCAAAAUAGACAACAAAAGCAAGACCACCAAUGGGAUUGAUAUGCUGCUAUGUGUGAUUGUGUGGAGUAGUUGUAAAUUGGCUCAUAUCAUUAAUUAGAAGAAGAAAAAAAAAAGGUAUUACAUAAGCGUAAGUGUAUUAAAAUAUAACUAAGACGAUGCCCGGUCAAUACUCACGUAAGGGUUGAUAUAAAAAUUGACUCUGCGUAUGUGUCAAAAGCCAGAAAUGACGCUAUAUGCUACAAUCAAGUUAUCAUAGAGUAUAGUAUGAUUUUUAAAGUUAUAAGCAUAAAUUAGGAAAUAUUACAGUCUUUAUCUCGUCUUUAUGGUCAUCAAAUGGUCAUCUCCCAUUAAAAACUCUUAAGAUAACGAAAACAUAAAAAUAAUGUUUCUCUUUUGGGAGGUGUGUGUGCUUUGGUAAAAGAAAAAGCCAAAAACUAAAGUUGUGACACGAACGGCACACAUAAAAUAAAAAACUUAGGCUCACGUCAUUUUUUACUUUGUUUCACGAAAUUAUAAUUUUCACAACUCCAUUAUAUUAACUUUUGAGAAAUUUGCAAAAUUUGUCCCCUCACUCACUGGCUCACUCGUUCCUCACACGGUCACGAACCGUAAGAAUCUUUUCUUUUAAGACUUUCACAAAACGACCCCUAAUUUUAGAUCCGGAUCUUUUGAGUAUCUCCAAUUAUUUCAAAAAAAUUAUAUAAACGAUUCCUGUUAUAAAACUAAUCAAAGAAAAAGCAACAAUUAUACGUCUCAUCAACUAAAAUAUAAAGAUAAUCUUAUACUAAUCCUUUAACAUUAUAUAAUUUAAAUCGAAUAUUCCCAAAAUAUUUAAAACUAUAUGAGAAGAGCAAAGAAAGUGUAACACUUCAUCACAAUUGAAAACUUGACACCUAUUUUUGUAAAAUAUAUUAAAAGAACCUCCAAACAACUUGCAAUAUUAUAAAAUUAAACAAAAAAUAAUUAACAAAAAUUAAAGGCACCACUAAUUAGAAAAAAAGAAAGUAAAGUAAAGUAAAGCAAAGCAAAGCAUCAUCUAUCAUCAUCAUGCAUCAGCCAAGUAGCUUUAUUCCCCUCUAUUAAAAAUCGAAUCUCAUUCUCCAUUUUUCCUCCCCCUUCCUCUCUCUCUCUCUCUCUCGCUCACUCACACACACACACCUCAGCUAAUCUUUGUAUUCUUCUUUCAAAACUCUUAAUCACAAUGAGCUUCUUCAUCGAAGAUUCUGGUCUCAUAGUCACUCAGCUUCUCUACAAAAUGGCUGUUCUCAUCACCGUCCUCAGAUGGAUCCUCGCAUGGAUCUUACGCUACCGAUCCAGAUCUAGAUCCACCGCUUCAUCUUCCUCCUCUUCCGCUUGUCCCGCGAUUUCUUCGCAAGCGAUCAAAGAGAGCCUCUCCGUGACGACGUUCCGUGACGCCUCCGAGAGAUCUCCGGCGAUGAUCAGCGAUACAUGCGCGGUGUGUCUCGGAGAUCUGGAAGAUGGAGAUGAGGUUAGAGAACUGAGGAACUGUAGCCAUAUGUUUCACCGUGAGUGUAUCGACCGGUGGUUGGAUUACGAAUGUUGCGGAGGAGAUGAGAACAACGAAGGUGAGGAGGAUAACCACCGGACGUGUCCUCUUUGUAGAACUCCGCUUCUUCCUGCUAAUACGACGUCGUGUGGUGAUUGGCCGGCUAAGAACGAACCUAGCUGGGCUGUUGAACGCCUUCUUUACCUCUUCGGAGAUGAUCUUCUCGUCUGAUUUUUCAAAUUUGUUUUUUUUUCUUUUGUUCCAAAUUUUUAUUUGAUUUUAUUUUAUUUUAGUGGGAUCGAUUGAUCGAUAGGAAUUACAUAGUGGUCAAUUUUGUAAAUUGGGGGAUUUAAUGGUUUAAUCUAGGAAAUAUAAUAAAAGGUUAUAUCAGUUUUUUUCUGAUUUCAUUAGUUUGAUACUAAUAAUGCUUUUCACGGCCAAUUUCGAACCUUGAGACAUUUCUACUUGGCAAGUGAUUCUGAGCUCAAAUGAAAACUAUUUACGAAAGACCAAGAACAAUCCAAAUGUUUUUUUAUACAAAAUAAAUUUCAUCAAUGCUCAGUUACUCUCAGAUACUGAGAGAUACAGAUAUGACUCACACUCACUUGCUAGAAAAUUUAGUAUAAACUUUGGCUUUUCGGAUUUCAUAAAAUGCAAAUUUGUGAUCGUGGUUCGUAUUAGCUCUAACGAACAAAUUUAAAGUCUAGAUGUAAAAGUACUCAAAGUAAAAUCAUGAUAUUUAAAAUUCAUGCUUGUGAAAUUAUACAUAGGCCAAAAAAAGGAAAAAAAUAGAGAGGGGAGAAGCAAAUGAAGCACAGUCGUUUUGAUGAGUAGGUCGGCUAUGGAGAAAUUAAAAAAAAAAAAAAAAAAAAUUGAUUUUCUUAAUUUGGGGGAUUUUUUUUCAUAGAGGAGGAGCUGGUUCGUUUCUAACAAAAUAUCAUCUUUUCGAUGGCAGCGAUACAGAUGCUCGAUCAGGUUGAUGAUUCCGCUGAUUCACUGAUGCAAUCCGUUCGCGAGGUUCAAACGAAGAUGGCUCUGCUUCACUCCACUGUUGGUGAGCUACUCUGUUCCAUGUCUGAGACCCUAAAUUCACUGACGGAGAUGAAGGACGCUCUUCUUUACCAACCCACAGCUCCCGCACCGUCGGAAUCGAAAGUUACGGUGGAUCAGGACCUCCCUGUAGCACCCCCUCCUCCUCCUACGACCGCGCCGGUGGUGGAUAACUCAACCAACGAGCACCCCUUGGCUCGCUACGUAAAGGUGAGGAAGACCAGGAUCGAGAUGCCAGUGUUUGAAGGUACCAAUGUUAACUCGUGGCUCUUCCGAGCGGAACGAUACUUCGAGUUCGGGAGUUUCACGGAGACGGAGAAGAUCCGGUUAGCUUAUAUGAGUGUCGAAGGUCCCGCUUUGUGUUGGUUUAGCCUUGAGGAUCGUGAACCUUUUCUAGAUUGGAACGAUUUCAAAACUAGGGUUUUACAGAGGUUUGGGGAUCCCAUAUCUCCAUUUGAACGUUUACUCUCACUCAAACAGGAUGAAUCUGUUAUACGCUACCUUGGUGAAUUCGAGGAUCUCUCCACGCAAUGUUCGGGUCUCUCUGAUUCUGUUCUUGGGUCCUUAUUCGUCAAAGGGCUUAAGGUUGAGAUUCAGGAUAUGCUCCGCGUGUUUCAACCGAAGGGGUUGAGAGAUAUCAUCAUGAUGGCUCGUAGGUUGGAGAAUAGUCCUUUUUGCCGUGUGAUGAACCCACCACUUACGGAUUCUGAGUUUGAAGAUCUGUGUCUCCGCAGGAAGAACUACAACACUUAGAUUCUUACCCUUUUUUGGUGCUUUUGAGUGGCUUGUCUUCUGUGAAUAGGUAAGCUCUGUUAGAUUCUUGUAGUCAUCUUCUAGGCUCUAGCAUCGAGUGUUAUGUCAAAGGAACACAUUUUCUAUUCCCUGGCUUGCUUGAAGAUGGUGUUUCAUCUUUCAUGGAUUCAUACAAUUAAAGUCAGGGUUUUUAUCUAAUCUUUAUUGGC
rnacentral:lncRNA from 1 species